UAGGGAAUCUUCGGCAAUGGACGAAAGUCUGACCGAGCAACGCCGCGUGAGUGAAGAAGGUUUUCGGAUCGUAAAACUCUGUUGUUAGAGAAGAACAAGGAUGAGAGUAGAAUGUUCAUCCCUUGACGGUAUCUAACCAGAAAGCCACGGCUAACUACGUGCCAGCAGCCGCGGUAAUACGUAGGUGGCAAGCGUUGUCCGGAUUUAUUGGGCGUAAAGCGAGCGCAGGCGGUUUCUUAAGUCUGAUGUGAAAGCCCCCGGCUCAACCGGGGAGGGUCAUUGGAAACUGGGAAGCUUGAGUGCAGAAGAGGAGAGUGGAAUUCCAUGUGUAGCGGUGAAAUGCGUAGAUAUAUGGAGGAACACCAGUGGCGAAGGCGGCUCUCUGGUCUGUAACUGACGCUGAGGCUCGAAAGCGUGGGGAGCAAACAGG
rnacentral:rRNA from 1 species